UACGUAGGGUGCAAGCGUUGUCCGGAAUUACUGGGCGUAAAGGGCUCGUAGGUGGCCAACUAAGUCAGACGUGAAAUCCCUCGGCUUAACCGGGGAACUGCGUCUGAUACUGGAUGGCUUGAGUUCGGGAGAGGGAUGCGGAAUUCCAGGUGUAGCGGUGAAAUGCGUAGAUAUCGGGAGGAACACCAGUAGCGAAGGCGGCACUCUGGGCCGGUACUGACGCUGAGGAGCGAAAGCGUGGGGAGCGAACAGG
rnacentral:rRNA from 1 species